GGAGGGGUGCAAACGUUGUCCGGAAUCACUGGGGCGUAAAGGGCGCGUAGGCGGACUUGUAAGUCAGGAGUGAAAACUCAGGGGCUCAACCCUGAGCCUGCUUCUGAAACUGCAAGUCUUGAGGACCGGAGAGGAAAGUGGAAUUCCUAGUGUAGCGGUGGAAUGCGUAGAUAUUAGGAAGAACACCAGUGGCGAAGGCGACUUUCUGGACGGUACCUGACGCUGAGGCGCGAAAGCUAGGGGAGCAAACAGGAUUAGAUACCCUGGUAGUCCUAGCCGUAAACGAUGAGUGCUAGGUGGUGGUAGUUUCAACGCUUUCACUGCCGAAGCCAACGCAUUAAGCACUCCGCCUGGGGAGUACGGCCGCAAGGUUG
rnacentral:rRNA from 1 species